GCGCGAACACUUUACAAUGCUGGCAACAGCGAUCAGGGAACCUCGCGUGCCCGGUUACACAUCUGGCUGUCGAGAUGCCUAAAAAGCAUUUCAUAGCAAGGGCCGGGCAAGACCGGUGCCAGCCGCCGCGGUAACACCGGCGGCUCGAGUGGUAACCGUUCUUAUUGGGUCUAAAGGGUCUGUAGCCGGCCGGAUAAGUCUCUUGAGAAAUCUGGCAGCUUAACUGUCAGGCUUUCAGGAGAUACUGUCUGGCUCGAGGCCGGGAGAGGUGAGAGGUACUUCAGGGGUAUGGGGUGAAAUCUUGUAAUCCUUGAAGGACCACCAGUGGCGAAGGCGUCUCACCAGAACGGACCUGACGGCAAGGGACGAAAGCUAGGGGCACGAACC
rnacentral:rRNA from 1 species